UCGUCGUCAUUCAAUCUCACUUCUUCUUCCUCCCUUACUUUCAAGGAUAUCUCGUUUCUUUCUUUCUUUCGUUUGGAAACUUCUUUGGUAUUUUUCAACUAAUACACUCCAUAAUUGAAUCAAAUAAUCGAUAUAAUUGAAGAAAAUGUGAGAGAAAUUAGGUCAGAGGGAUGAUUGAGUUGAGAGAAGGAACCUGAAAUUGGAAGGAAGAGAGUUCUUUGUUCCAAAGGGAGUGUCUUUGGCCAGCUUCCAUUGAAGCCACUGUGGUUUGUUUCAACUGAUCAUAGAUAUAAUUCGAAGGAUUAGAAAGUGAAUGAAGGUAAUUUUUUUAAAAUUUUUAGCAGUAAAUUUUGCUGGACCAAUAAUCCAAUGCAUUUGAGCUGUGGAUUCAAAUUGAAUAAUACUUCCAAUACUAUAGCCUACAUACUAAGAGUCUAUAUACCUUGGAUAUUUGUAACUUUAUUCUAUUGGACUGGUUGGUAGUUCAUGGCUUUCUGGGUGCACACUACACCAGUUUGGCGGUCUGGGUGUUACCGCAUACCUACAUUGUCCCAAAACAAAAGUAAUCCUAAGAUUUGAUCAGGGACCACACUCCAAAGUCCAACCAUUGUGAUGGUUAACUUGCAAACCUCGCUUAGUUAACAAGUCUACAACUUUGUUAGCUUUGUGGUACACAUGAUUUACACUAUAAUUUAUAAAAUUUAAGUUUUUUUUACAGUCUUCCAAGAAAUUUUUUAAAUGCCAUGCCCUAGUGCAAAAGUAGAGUUUGUUUUGAUUUCCAAUAUGUGUAAUCCCACCUCUGCAAUCAGAUUGUGUAGUCUAUCUCUGAGGGCCCAUAAUUCUGCCAUGUCAAUUGACCACCUCCCAGGCUUCUUUGAUAUCCUGCAAAGAAAACACCAAUACCAUUUCUUAUAACUGCCUCCAUACCUGAGUUUUCUUUAUUUGCUGCUUCGUCUACAUUCAGUUUCCACCAUCCACUUUAAGGUGGAUACCAUCUCACAUAUAUUGUCUUAGGGUGUGUUUGUUUAAAAUGCUGAAUGCUGGAUGCUGAAUGCUGGAUGCUUAAUGCUGGAUACUUAAUGCUGGAUGCUGAACACUGAAUUGCUGGAAAAGUUGUUUGGUUAUCAUUUAUAAGAAGUUCUGUUUUUGAUUUGUUUGUUUAUGCAUAAGGGUGAUUUUGACCAUGUUACCCUAUUAUUGGAAAAGUAUUUUGACAAUACACAGUACCUUAUCACAUAACCCAAAAACCUAAAGUUGAUUUGCACUCUGGUUGCGCAAGUUGACCAUUCAGUGUUGUGCUUCAGAUGAGAAUGUUUCACCCUUAGCCAAAAUAUUUGUGUAACUACACUAUAUUGUUACGUCGUACAAACAGAAAAAUGUUCUAACAACAAAACUAUACACGCCAAUUUUUCUUCUAAAACAUGAUAUUUAAAAAAAAAAAAUCUUAACCUUUUAAACGGCUCGUCUAAAAAUUCUAAAUUUUGGAUAUGGUACAACAGAAAUCGUCAUGAACAAUGGAAAAUAUUUCAAAGUGAACAGACAAAGGAAAGAUCCCUUACUAAGCAAACGAAUCUGACUGUAAUUUUUCUUCUAAAACAUGACAAUCACAAAAAAAAUCUGUAACUUUCAAACGACUCGUUUAAAAAUUCCAAAUUUUGGAUAUGAUACAAUAGAAAUCGUCAGGAACCUAUAGUAAAACUUUUAAAGUGAUCAGACAAAAGAAAGUCUCCUUAUUAAGCAAACGAAUCUGACUAUAACGUAAUUUUUCUUGUAAAACAUAACAACCACAAAAAAAUCUGUAACUUUCAAACCGAUCGUCUAAAAAUUCUAAAUUUUAGAUAUGAUAUAACAAAAAUCUUCAGGAACAUAUGGUAAAAAUUUCAAAGUGAUCAGACAAAGGAAAGGCCAUUAACUAAGCCAAUGAAUCUGACUGUGAUAUUACUUAAUGGUUAUGGAUGAUAAAAACAAUUUUUAUAAGGGUAGAAUUGUCUAAAUAAUACAACAAGCAUUAAGAAGUUAAAUUAAGCGUGAGAUUUUCGCUGGGCCAAAAUCACUGAAAUAUCCCAAUUAGUUCUUAAUACUUGUUCUAAACAAACAACUUAAAAAACACUUAUUUCUGAAUUUUAACCUGGUCCACCACUUAAGAAGCACUUAAUGCUUAAUGCUUAAUGAAACAAACACUACCUUAGUCCCUUUGCCUUACAAUGGUUUGAGAAAGUAUGCUGAAUAUAUUUUAGACCCUGAAUUUGUUUAGAGCCAUACAAUACAUUAUUAGUAGUAAAUGCAUUCAAAUCAUCAUACUGUGAUUUUUUUUUUUUCCUUUUUCUUUCUUAAAUCACGCCUGAUUCUGGAAAGGAAGGAGUUUUGCUGUUACAUUUGACAGUGUGGUUG
rnacentral:lncRNA from 1 species